GGCUGGUCCGAAGGUAGUGACUUAUUUCAAUUAAUUGUUCACAGUCAGUACAGAUUGAACUCCUUGUUCUACUCUUUCCCCCCUUCUCACUAUUGCACUUGAUUAGUCUUAA
ensembl:misc_RNA Y_RNA Y RNA